rnacentral:rRNA from 1 species
UACGUAGGGUGCGAGCGUUGUCCGGAUUUAUUGGGCGUAAAGGGCUCGUAGGCGGCUUGUCGCGUCGGGUGUGAAAUCCUACCGCUUAACGGUGUGUCUGCAUCCGGUACGGGCAGGCUGGAGUGUGUCAGGGGAGACUGGAAUUCCUGGUGUAGCGGUGGAAUGCGCAGAUAUCAGGAGGAACACCGGUGGCGAAGGCGGGUCUCUGGGACAUUACUGACGCUGAGGAGCGAAAGCGUGGGGAGCGAACAGG